rnacentral:lncRNA from 1 species
CAGGACGAGCUGCUCCUGGUGGGCGUCCUGCUCUCGUCCUCCUGGGUCCUGAUCUCUGGUCUGGACGGAGCCUCGGUGUCCGACCGGACCUUUGAGAUUCUCUGCUCUCAGCGGAGGCGUGUGCAGCCACCAGGCCGGACUGCUCUCUGGAUCCUCCUGCUGGAUGUGUUUGUUUUAUCCUCCUGGCAGAUCCUGGACCCCCUGAGACGGGAGGUGCUGCAGCAUCGCUCAGAGGUAACGAAGGAGCGACAUGGAGUUAACUCUGAGUGUGGGAGGGGCUGAUGGGAGCUGUAGUCCUGAUGUAUGUGGUGUCAGUUUGAGAACGGAGCGCAGCACUUUGAGUUUUAGCAGCAGGUUGACCUUCAGCGACCUGGUUUGUUCCUCCCAGACCGACCCGGCUGACCAGGACGCCGUCCUCCGGCCGUACUCAGAGCGCUGCAGCAGCAUGAACCUGGAGCUGUGGCUCACGUUGGUGUACGGAUACAAAGGCCCCCUGCUGCCUUCAGUGUGUCGGGAGCUUCAGCUUCAUUGCUGACGUCCCACGAUCCUCCUCUUCACUUCUGUCUGAGCAGCGUCCUCGUCCUCUGCUGUAACAUCUGGAUCCUCGGCUUCCUGUUUGGG